UACAGAGGUCUCAAGCGUUGUUCGGAUUCAUUGGGCGUAAAGGGUGCGUAGGCGGCGCGGUAAGUCGGAUGUGAAAUCUCGGAGCUUAACUCCGAAACUGCAUUCGAUACUGCAGUGCUUGAGGACUGGAGAGGAGACUGGAAUUUACGGUGUAGCGGUGAAAUGCGUAGAUAUCGUAAGGAAGACCAGUGGCGAAGGCGGGUCUCUGGACAGUUCCUGACGCUGAGGCACGAAGGCCAGGGGAGCAAACGGG
rnacentral:rRNA from 1 species